AUUGAACGCUGGCGGCAUGCCUUACACAUGCAAGUCGAACGGCAGCACGGGAGCAAUCCUGGUGGCGAGUGGCGAACGGGUGAGUAAUAUAUCGGAACGUGCCCAGUCGUGGGGAUAACGUAGCGAAAGCUACGCUAAUACCGCAUACGAUCUAUGGAUGAAAGCGGGGGAUCGCAAGACCUCGCGCGAUUGGAGCGGCCGAUAUCAGAUUAGGUAGUUGGUGAGGUAAAGGCUCACCCAAGCCGACGAUCUGUAGCUGGUCUGAGAGGACGACCAGCCACACUGGGACUGAGACACGGCCCAGACUCCACGGAGGCAGCAGUGGGGAAUUUUGGACAAUGGCGCAAGCCUGAUCCAGCAAU
rnacentral:rRNA from 1 species